UGACGAGCUCCUCCAAUCAACGGCCUCUCUCAACUCCCACCAGCCUACUUCUCCAGUUCUGCCUCUUAUGCUGGCAACAGUCCUCAGCCUAUAUAAGUGACUGUAAAAGCCUACGGCUGGUGAUUUGGACCUCGGCGCUCCAGAGCCAUUAACGUGAUAAAGUUAGCCUCCAGCUGCCUCUGGUGCCAGGUCUUCCAUCUGCUCUGUUCCUGCAGUCCGUAACAGUAGAUACGUGAAGCCCUGGAUUCAAUCUGCGUGACCACAAAAUGAAUAAACACAAUAAAAACUUAAA